rnacentral:lncRNA from 1 species
UUACAUACAUUAUGGUAUGUGAGACCGAUGUUUUUAUUCUGUUUCUGACCCCUAAUGUAAAAUAAAUGAAUAAAUAGCAGUUCAGAGAGUGUCUUCAAAAGAUGCUGUAAUGAGAAUUCUUGGUAUUAAAAUCCUUUUCUAAGCCCAUUCCUUGGCUAUCUUUAUCAUUAGAAGCCAACAUCCAUUGCUGGGACUGCAUGUUUUUUUGCUAUGGUCAUAGAAGAACUUGAAUGUACAGCUGAGGCUCAUCAAAGUCUGUGAGACCAGUAACACCACCUCUGCUCUUCUCUUGGUGAUUUGGUUGACUCUCUGGAGAGAUAACAAACUCAAAUCAGGAAUACAGAGAAACUUUAGAUUUGAACAUCAAGAAGAAAGCUAGAAUGCAAUUUUCCUGAAAAGCUUAAAGUUUAUAUUUUCCUGAAUACUGACCAAAUACAAUUUGGUCACAACUACGUCGUGCAGUUUUAAGAUGCCUGGUGGUGUCUAGAAUCAUGCUAAUUAAAAUACACCACUUUCAAACGGCAUUCAAUUGCUCAUUGUAGAGAAAUCCAGAUACCAUGCUACUACACUGCCAGGGUUUGACAAGCACAGUAUUUAUAGGCUGUGAAGAAGAAAAUGGGCCCGGGACAUAGCAAAUAAUG